UGUUAAGUCGGUCAGUAUUUAAAAAUCUUUGUUUUUCCUUUUUUUGUUUUUGCUAUCAUACUAAUUUAAAUAUUACAGUAACUGAAAGCUUUAAUACUUUGACAGAUCAGCCGAGGUGUCCUGCAAAGAGCUGCAAUACCAGUUCAAGUGGAGAUACUGAAGUGGACUCAGAUGACACCAUAAUAUUACAACACAGUCCUACAACAAGACGAAGAGUUGAAGACACCUCUCUUGCCAAAGUGGUUGCUGUCAUUGGAGAGGAUGCAUCAUCCGUUGAAGGUCAUGUGAAUGUCCUGCAUAUCCAGUACAGCAAGGUGCGAGAGGAUAUACCAAAGAAGUACCCUUUCUUGAAGACAACCUCAGGGUUGUUUGAUGAUGUUGACCGAAUGCAUCCAUCACCUGUGAGUUUAAGACAGCGCUUCAAGGACGGCGUUUACCAGUAUUGUGCCAAAGGUGCUUGAGCUUGUUCAAAGAAAAGCUCCAUUAGCCAAAGUCUCCAAA